UAACAUCACUUUUAGUACAGAUGAUUUGCUGUUUUACGGCACUAUGCACAAUAAGGGACUUAACUUUAAUUACAUUUUGGACGUUUUAAAAUGGGUUAAAAAGCAAUAGCAGUUUACCAAGACGAUUUUAUUAUAACAACCCUGCCGAUUGACAACACAAAAGUGGUCGCGCUGCAUAUGCGUCAUUUUUGACCUAGCGCCUUGACGUGACAUCCGAGCAGAGCAGGGCAGUGUACAGGGAAGAAUAAAGUGCCUUAGACAGAAUGAGUGUUCCCAACAACACAGGAAAAAUAUGAGCAUAGUGACAAGAUGGAGCAGUUCCUCUGGAAGUACACAGGAGGAAAGUGUCCUUCAACUGGAAAGACAUGGUCAUGUUCCUUGAGGGAGAGGACUGCUAGCAUUGAAAGUACGCUGUACAAUAAGAAUUGAGCAGUAAAGGAAGGCUAACCUAUAUCAGAGCCUUCUAUGUGUAAAUAGGUUAUGUAAAGAAACACUGACAAUGGUGACUGGCUGACUGUUAGACUUAUACUUAGAGGAGUAUCUACCAUGGUGGAUAAAUGAAGAUAUCCCAUAAAGGCUGCUUACCAUUAAAAAAAGGUUGGUCACAGUUCCGGUCUACUUAAGGAGUUGCUCUCCCAUACGCACCAAUGCAAUAGCAGCUGGGUCUGGUCUAGUUAGUUAAUUGACUGUAUAUGAACCAGAAAAAUAUCUCGCUUCCUCUUCCGUCUCAGGUAUCUACCACAAAUCACGUGACAAUAUUUUUGCCCACAAUUCCAGAACAACACGUUCUCCGGACGUUAAAGAACGAGCGUAUCUUUGCUUGGCAGCCCGGCGAAGACCUGUCCACGGAGUAGAUGUGUGAGGUCACGUUCAGACGCUGUAAACAGCUGUUCCGGUACGACUUCCUGACACGUGAUGACAUCAUGGGGAAGCCAUGGAGGACAGUGGUGCUGAAUGACUGUCUGGGCAUGUAUGACUGGCCCUUGGGUGCCAAGUAUUUGAAUCCUUAACAAUUGGGUGAGUUUAGAUGGAUCGAUGGGCUAAGAGGACUGAAAGAGGGAGAGAUGGGGAUAGAGAAAUUGUCUGGGCAUGUACAGCUGGUCACUGGGGGCAAAGUUCCUCCCCAACAAAUGGGUGAGUUUGGAUGGAUGGAUGGGAGGAGGAGGAUGGAUGGAUUUCUUUAUCUAAUCUGCAGGGACCAGUCAAAACAGUAGUGUUACAGUAGUGUCUCAAAGACUUGGUUAGACAUCAUCAAAUCAAAUUGUAUUUUUCCACAUACACCGAAUACAACAGGUGUAGACCUUACAGUGAAAUGCUUACUUACAAGCCCUUAACCAACAAUGCAGUUUAAAAAAAUCAGAAUAAGAAGAAAAAGGAACAAGUAAUAAAGAGCAGCAGUAAAAUAACAAUAGCGAGGCUAUAUACAGGGGGUACCAGUACAGAGUCAAUGUGCAGGGGCACUGGUUAGUCGAGGUAAUUGAGGUGAUAUGUACAUGUAGGUGGAGUUGUUAAAUUGACUAUGCAUAAAUAAUAAGAGAGUAGCAGCGGUGUAAAAUAGGUGUGGGGGGGGGCAAAUGCAAAUAGUCUGGGAAGCCAUUUGAUUAGAUUUUCAGGAAUCUUAUGGCUUGGGGGUAGAAGCUGUUUAGAAGCCUCUUGGACCUAGACUUGGCACUCCGGUACCGCUUGCUGUGCGGUAGCAGAGAGAACGUCUAUGAUAACAUCAUUUUGAAGAAGCAUCAUAUGGUGUAAUGUAUGUCUUUAUCUUCUCAAGAGACAUGAUAUGAGAGAUUAUUACAGUGUAAGCAUGGCUUUGUUCUGUUUCAGAUGUUUGGUGGGACAGUGGCCAACUCCGGAUCCCAGAGACAUAGCCAGUUUGUGCAGGAUACAGAGGACAUGACAGUAGACAAACAAUCAGCAUACACAUUCAUUCAUAUCUACCUUUGAAAUGUAUUGGAAGCCAUGUAAACACGUCUCAACAGUGAUUUCAUGGUGGCAGGUUGCCGUUCAGUGUGUUAUGCAUGUAUGCACUUUGCCCUGGAUGCUGCUAACUAUGCUAGAAUGCUGUACCUAAAAGACAACUUCUAGUUGUUACCACACAACCAUACAAUUUUACAUUUAAGCAGACACACUUAUCCAGUGACUUACAGUAGGGAGUGCAUACAUUUUUCAUAAUUUUUCCAAACUGGUCCCCCGGUGGGAAUUGAACCCACAACCCUGGCAUUGCAAGCACCAUGCUCUACCAACUAGGCAUUGACCCAAAUGUUCUCCAUAAAAACCAAAAACCCUAAAAGGUAGACAGCAGAGAAACAGAUUGCACAUCGCCCAUAGAUAAACAGGUAUGGAGACAAUAUAACUACAGGCUAUUUAUUUCUCUACUUCAAUAAACAUAUAUCCCAGUAACACAAAACUGUUGGAAUACAAUGACACGCCAGUUAAAUACAACUUCUGGUGUCCGAAGUCCUGUAAGCUUCACCUGUUGUUGUUUCCCUCCAAUACCAGAGCUAUGAGGACCACAGCCAAGUACGAUCCAAGUACACAGGUGGGUGGGACACAUACACUGGUUAUUUCGUAUUUGUAAUACAAAUAAAUACACUGACUUAUAUAAAAACGUAAAUACAUUGGAAACCAAACCUUGGAUGAUUUUGUUUUCUUCAGCAACUCAGCCAUGAUUCAUAGAGUUAAACGACUUGAGUGCCAAUGAGAAUUCACUAGUAUUUACUGUGAAUAGACCAUACUAUAGUGAUAAAACCGCUCUCCUAUCCAUGAAUUCAUCAUCAACACCCCUGAUUUUGAGGCUGCUAAGUUCUGGGAAGGGAACCUGGGGUAGACGGGUAGACAGGCUGUAGUGUCUUCCCAGCUUUACCCCCCCCCCCCCCUCGAUGGAGCCUGUCACGGUCUGCACUCUGAUUAAAAAAGGAUUGUGGAUGUGAUUGGUUGCGUAACCAGCAGGGCUAUUGUGAUCAGAUUGCAGAUACUCUUAAAAAACUAGACGAUUGCUUCUCCGAUUACUUUUGAAUUCGGAAGAGAUGUUUCCGGGAAAGAAAAGGUGCAUUCUGACACCUUUCUGUUUUCUCGGAGGCAUUCGGUUUGGCUUUGAAAACGGUGCCAGUUUGGGUCUGUUCCACCUGAGCUUUCGAACCGCGGGUAAGGGACCACUGUGAUGCCACGUUUGUUUGAUGGAUCCUUUUUGUCUUCUGGGGCCUCUUGGGGGGAGGGUAGUCCAAAGGUAGUUGGGAGUGGUCGGGUUGCGUUGCUGAGUGUUUGGGUAGUCCAAAUAUUACGUUGCUGAUUGCUGUUUUGAACAGCUGACUAGUGGCUGUAACGGACUGCAUCUGGGGAGUAACCUACCCAACCCUGCAUAAGGUACAAUUAUUUCAAAAUGUUACAAGUGUACAUUUGUGUGGUACUGACCCUGUGACUAUUAGUACUGUUUUGGAGUAAGGGCAUUAACUACAAUUCUCUUACCAACUAUAUUAUUUACAUAUGUAUUUUUAUUUAUGUAUUGUAUGUCUCGUUUUGCUCUAUAUGGAAAGAACACGUUGAAUUAUUGGAAAUCAACAUUACAUCUUUGAAAAUUACAAUAAAAACAUUGUAAAAAAAUGUGGGCCACUCUCUUUCAGUGUUAGCUUGUGAUGUUAUAUAUCAAAUCUGUCCAACCUAUAUUGAUUGUGACUUAUGUCUUUGACAGGUCAGAGACCCCAAGACUGCUGGUGAUGCCAGGAGUGAUGGUUUGCAGUGUUUCACAAUGGCCAAGUCCCUCUGCUCAAUAAGAUCAGUGAUGUCACCUUGAGGGAUACUCCGUCAUACCUUUUUAAGUGCUGUUGGCAGUGUAUAAAUGGCUGGUGUGUUUCCUUACGAGAGAGAGUCAGGAGGCUGGCUCAGGAGAAGGCUUCUGGCAAGGCUGACUUCGAGGCUCGCAGAUGUGUAAGAAGCUAUGGUCUACGGUGAUGGAGAGAACAAGGUUCUAGAGCAUCCACCCUGGUGGGCAGAGUUGAAGCCACUGUACCUCCAUUUUGGAAGCUAUAGAAAUGAAGUCGUUGUCACGCAUCCUGGUUCGCGGCGAGGCUACAGACACCUUAGUCUGGCGUUGCCAUACCUCCAAAAUGAAGUCGUUGUCACGCAUCCUGGUUCGCGGCGAAGCUACAGACACCUUAAUGCUUUAAAAAUAACUUUAAAAUGAUGUUAUGUGAGAAACAUAAACAUGUUAAAUUAAAAAUACAAAAACAGUUUACUUAAAGUAUAUAUUUUAGUUACUUUAUUGAAAAUGCAAAUAUAUUUAAAAUUAAACACAGAUAUGUCUAAUGUACAUAAGUAUUCACACCUCAGAGUCACUACAAGUUCAUUAUAAUCCACAUAAUAAUUCACAUUUCCUGUUGCUGCAGAAUUAUUUUCCUGCUGUAGCAAACUGGCUCAAAUUAAGAUCCUACAUCUGUAUGGCCCUCAAUUUCAACCCCCCCAAAAAAUAUAAAAUAAAUGAAAUAAAGGAUUUAUUUACUAUGGUAAAAGUGGGGUAAUUGUGGGAAACUGCCUAUGAAGGGAAGUCCGAAAGAGAUUAUAUUCAUUAUAUUUUAUUUCAUAAUUGGAACUGAUUUACCAUGAUAUGAUGCCAGCUAACCCCACAUAAAUUAGAUUAUACAUAACUACAUGAAUUAAGAUUUCAAUCACAUGUAUUUAUAAAGCCCUUUUUACCUCAGCAGAUGUCACAAAGUGCUAUACAGAAAGAUAUUUGACUUUAUUUUGAUUGCCAAAUGAUUCUAUGGUUGUCUAAUGUGUAUAUAGUUGUACUGUAUGUCACACGUAAUGCUGUAUAUAUCUUUUGCACAUUUUGUAAAAUACUGACUGAAUAAAGGGUUUGUAAAAUAAACAUGAAAUAAAGAUUUUUACUAAUACAAAUACA